CUGCAGGUGAUUGGUAUGUGAUGUAUUCUGCAGGUGAUUGGUAUGUGAUGUAUUCUGCAGGUGAUUGGUAUGUGAUGUAUUCUGCAGGUGAUUGGUAUAUGAUGUAUUCUGCAGGUGAUGAGUGUGAUGUAUUCUGCAGGUGAUUGGUAUGUGAUGUAUUCUGCAGGUGAUUGGUAUAUGAUGUAUUCUGCAGGUGAUUGGUAUAUGAUGUAUUCUGCAGGUGAUUGGUAUAUGAU